GAAAAAGCCAUUGUGUACCACAGUGUCUAUUUAGCCAAUUGUCCAUCUUUAGCUAUUCUGAAUGCCUAAAGAUAGACAAUUGGCUAAAUAGAAAUUGUGGUACAUCCAUACAAUGGAAU
rnacentral:precursor_RNA from 1 species